rnacentral:lncRNA from 1 species
UGGGAUUUUGUCAUUAAGGGAAAAGAGAAAGUGAAAGUUGAGCAGUAACUAGUUGACAAUGUCUGCCUCACCUUCACACUCCUAGGACUGCCCCGAGGUGAAGCCGCGCGGGGAGAGGAAGCGGGUGUUUUCCCCUCUGCCUUUCGGCCCCCGCCCUUCCUUUCAGUUUCUCCCGGUUCGCUCGGAAGUUGGAGGUUGACAAAAAUGGCAGGAGCCGGGGCCCGGGCGGGUCU